AAGGACCUAAAAAAUUAAUUUUAUU
rnacentral:rRNA from 1 species